GGCCGUCCGGGUCUUGUUUACGGCUACCACUGGCGCGGCGUGCGAUCGCGAAGCCCGCUGCCGCGCCUUUCGCCGCGAUGUCUUGCCGCUGUUUUCGCCCGACGCGUGCACGUACGCGACGGAGCGGACCAGCAGCAGUCGUGACUUGCAACCGGCGGCCGCCGCCACCCCUGGCGGGCCCAGCUGAGGCCAGGCAGUGUCUGGCUAUGCCUCCUCCGGACCACGUCGCAGUUCGAUGCCGACCAGAUCGACAGCAGCUGCAACGCUGACCAGCCGGUGCAAGUAGACUGAACGAGCGAGCCACGUGUUCACGCUUCGAAGGAUUUACUGCACGCGAU
rnacentral:misc_RNA from 1 species